ensembl:lncRNA
CUGGGUUUGGUUGAAGCCAGUCUGUCUGAAUUUUUACAGAUAGUAGUUCCCACCCAGAGGACAGCAAGCACAGUGAAUGUCUGAUGCCGCGGGACGGUGCUUCAACCUUGAAGAUGCCCUGAGAGUUCUGCAGCCCUAGGAGCAGACUGUGAAUCCUUACAGCCCCUCCCCCAUCACCACUCACCCUCCUGCUCCCAGGGCCAAGGCUUGAAGGUUUGUAUGUAGGAGACUUACUCUACCUUGGACUUCUCCUGUGAGCAGUAAGACCUGACUCUUGUGUCUACUCUGUACCUCUCACCCACCUUCACAACACGGAGUUUUAUACCCGUUCCUGGGGCAAGGAGCAAUGAACAGAGAAGGCGGCACAGCAAACAGGACAGAACAGAAUUGAACACAGUGGUUUUGGCGAGCAAGUCAGCAUGCAAACGGGAAUAAGAGCCCUGGGACUUUCCUAAGACAAACAAAGGAUUUAAAAGAAAUAACAAUAUUUAAUAGAACUCAAAACCCCCAAGUCCAGAUUAAGAAAACAACUUGCUACAAACAACGGAAGAUACUAAAAUUAGCUGUAUUUUUUAACUAGAAACUCUCUCAUCACAGCACCCAAAAAAAGGUACAUCAAGUUUAAGAAAUGUUUUAUGAUGGGAAUAGAAAUGUUCAGCUCCAGGAAGAAUAACUACUGAAUCCUCCACUGACUGGAGCUUCCCAAGUGUCACUAGUGGUAAAGAAUCCGCCUGCCAAUGAAGGAGACAUAAAGAGACCUGGGUUUGAUCUCUGGGUUGAAAAGAUCCCCCUGGAGGAGGGCAUGGCAACCCAUUCCAGUAUUCUUGCCUGGAGAAUCCCAUGGACAGAGGACCCUGUAGGGCAACAGUUCAUGGGAUGGCAAGCAGUUGAACAUGAAUGAAGCAACUCAGCUGAUCCACUCAGUGGCCUUCCCCAAAUCUUUGUUCAUUCCUGCUUCCCUAAGUGCCUGGUUUCCUGUCAAAUUGCUAUUGUCCCGAAGCCUUCAUGUUUCCUCUUGAUCAUAUUUCUUCCCCCAAGCCCUUUUUCAGCAAUGAGUUAAAGCUCCAGACAGUUGUCAAGUAUUCCUCUUGUGCAGGCCAAGCUUUCCAAGGAGUGACACCACAAAGUGAAGACACAAACGGAUGUGACGAGGCACUUGAUGUUGGACUUGGCACAGCCCUGGGCAGAGAAAUGGAGCUGCAGGGGAGGAUCCACACGCAGCCAGAUCCACAUUAUUCCCAGAAGAGUCAUUGGGAUAUAACUGCACGUGGCUCAAGUUCAGAGUCCUGGGUCAAAGCCCUUGGGAAAUCCUAUGGUCCAGAGUCUCUCACGCCAGCUGACACUGGCAUCAGUAAACAUUAUAGACCAAGGGUCAGAAAACUAUGGGCUCUAAGCCAAAUAGGACCCUUGCCUAUUUUUGUAUGACUGGCAAGCUUCGAGUCAUUUUUAAAUAUUUGAAAAAAAAAUUAAGUAAUAUUGUUGACAUUAAAAUGGUAUACAAUUAAAGUCUGUGUCUAAAAUUAAAGUUUUGCUGCAUACCAC